UACGUAGGGGGCUAGCGUUGUCCGGAAUCAUUGGGCGUAAAGCGCGCGUAGGCGGCCAGAUUAGUCCGGUGUGAAAGUCAGAGGCUCAACCUUUGAAUGCCGCUGGAAACUGUCUGGCUUGAGUCCGGAAGGGGCGAGUGGAAUUCCUGGUGUAGCGGUGAAAUGCGCAGAUAUCAGGAGGAACGCCAAUGGCGAAGGCAGCUCGCUGGAACGGUACUGACGCUGAGGCGACGAAGACGUGGGGAGCAAACAGG
rnacentral:rRNA from 1 species